CCGGGGCCGCACGCGCGCUACAUUGAAGGAAUCAGCGUGUGCUUUCCCGGUUCGACAGGAUUGGGUAACCCGUUGAACCUCCUUCGUGCUGGGGAUAGAACCUUGUAAUUAGUUCUUGAACGAGGAAUACCCAGUAAGCACGAGUCAUCAGCUCGUGUUGAUUACGUCCCUGCCCUUUGCACACACCGCCCGUCGCUACUACCGAUUGAAUGAUUAAGUGAGGUCUUCGGACUGGCGCUCGGAUUGGCCUUCGGGUCGAGACGAUUGGUGCCGGAAAGAUGACCAAACUUGAUUAUUUAGAGAUAGUAAAAGUCGUAACAAGGUUACC
rnacentral:rRNA from 1 species